rnacentral:rRNA from 1 species
CCUUCGGGUUGUAAAGCUCUUUCAGACCGGGAAGGAAACGGUACACGGCCUAACACCCGUGACUAAUGACGGUACCGUCAGAAGAAGCACCGGCUAACUACGUGC